UACUCAUUCACUUUUUAUUUGAGCGGGU
rnacentral:piRNA from 1 species